rnacentral:tmRNA from 1 species
GGGGCUGCACUGGUUUCGACGUGGGUUCGGACGCGCAGCAGGGCAUGUCGAGGUUCUGUCACCUCGUAAAACCGCAGAAAAAAACUAACUGCAAACGACGAACGUUUCGCACUCGCUGCUUAAUUGCACGUGAGCCUCACAACAGCAAGCCGAUAGGCUGGGCAAGGGUAGCGCAAGCUGUCCAGGCUGUGGGGUAAUUUCAUUCGGCUGGGCCCGCCUUGGGUAACUUAGGGCAGGUCAAGAAAAUAGGUUGCUGGCGUUUUGCAUAGCGUGCCACUGCGCGAUGCAAAAGGCGAGACUCAAACCAGACGGCUACACAUGUAGAACUGUUCGAAGAAGGCUUGCGGACGCGGGUUCAAAUCCCGCCAGCUCCACCA